rnacentral:rRNA from 1 species
UACGUAGGGACCAAGCGUUGUUCGGAUUUACUGGGCGUAAAGGGCGCGUAGGCGGCAAUUCAAGUCAGUUGUGAAAUCUCCGAGCUUAACUCGGAACGGUCAACUGAUACUGUUUUGCUAGAGUACAGAAAGGGCAAUCGGAAUUCUUGGUGUAGCGGUGAAAUCCGUAGAUAUCAAGAGGAACACCUGAGGCGAAGGCGGGUUGCUAGGCUGAUACUGACGCUGAGUGCGCGAAAGCUAGGGUAGCAAACGGG